rnacentral:tRNA from 1 species
GCGAACAUAGCUCAGUUGGUAGAGCGCAACCUUGCCAAGGUUGAGGUCGCCGGUUCGAGCCCGGUUGUUCGCU